rnacentral:lncRNA from 10 species
CCAGAGAUCCGUUCAGAGGUCAGAUACAACUUGGGGCUGUCACUGUCUCACUUCAGCUGUUGUGACUGUCCAUACCUUUACUUUCUCUUUCUUUGAGCAAGUAAGACUAAAGAUGUUUUUCUCUAUGCUUAGCUGUCCCUGUGGUAAGUCCAACCUAUUUUCAGUAAAGCUGUGAAAAAUGGAAAAUCUAUCCAGUGUGAUCCCUUCUUCCAACGGCCUACAUCCCUGCAGUUUUCUGCCUGUUUUUAGUAACCCAGUGUUUGUCAGGUUUGUCAAAGAUCAAGAGUUUCUGCACAGCAAAAGAAACUACCAUGAGAGUGAACAGGCAACCUACAGAAUGGGAGAAAAUUUUCGCAACCUACUCAUCUGACAAAGGGCUAAUAUCCAGAAUCUACAAUGAACUCAAACAAAUUUACAAGAAAAAAACAACCCCAUCAAAAAGUGGGUGAAGGAUAUAAACAGACACUUCUCGAAAGAAGACAUUUAUGCAGCCAACAGACACAUGAAAAAAUGCUCAUCACUGGCCAUCAGAGAAAUGCAAAUCAAAACCACAAUGAGAUACCAUCUCACACCACUUAGAAUGGCAAUCAUUAAAAAGUCAGGAAACAACAGGUGCUGGGGAGGAUGUAGAGAAAUAGGAACACUUUCACACUGUUGGUGGGACUGUAAACUAGUUCAACCAUUGUGGAAGACAGUGUGGUGAUUCCUCAGGGAUCUAGAACUAGAAAUGCCAUUUGACACAGCCAUCCCAUUACUGGGUAUAUACCCAAAGGAUUAUAAAUCAUGCUGCUUUAAAGACACAUGCACACGUAUGUUUAUUGCAGCACUAUUCACAAUAGCAAAGACUUGGAACCAACCCAAAUGUCCAUCAAUGAUAGACUGGAUUAAGAAAAUGUGGCACAUAUACACCAUGGAAUACUAUGCAGCUAUAAAAAAUGAUGAGUUCAUGUCCUUUGUAGGGACAUGGAUGAAGCUGGAAACCAUCAUUCUCAGCAAACCUAUCACAAGGACUAAAACCAAACACCGCAUGUUCUCGCUCAUAGGUGGGAAUUGAACAAUGAGAACACGUGGACACAGGAAGGGGAAUAUCACACACUGGGGACUGUUGUGGAGUGGGGGAAGGGGGGAGGGAUAGCAUUAGGAGAUAUACCUAAUGUAAAUGACGAGUUAAUGGGUGCAGCACAUCAACAUGGCACAUGUAUACAUAUGUAACAAACCUGCAUGUUGUGCACAUGUACCCUAGAACUUAAAGUGUAACAAAAAUAUAUAUAUAUAUAUAUAUAUAAAGUCUGUAAGAUGUAAUCUACUGCUAUUAUAUAAUCCUAUAGCCCUGACAGUGUGUGAAGUGCUGGGGAGGGAAAGCAUUCUAUAAUCCUAUAAUUAAAUCUCCAUUUGGGGGUUUAGGGGAACAGAGCCCCUGGGUUGUGACCAUCAGAAGAGUCUCAUAGCCUUUUUAUUUCUCCACUUAUGUGAGACAGGAAGGCCAGUGGGCUGGGAGUUGGCUUAUUGCACUUCUCCCAGGUCAGAUGAGGCUCUAGUAAAGUAGUUACAGUUGAGAGCAACCUUUGUUAAAGAGAACAGAAUGCUCUAGGUGUAUUUUAAAGUGGUUGUGUUUCCCCUCCCGGUGCCUAACAUAUAGGAAGCUUUUUCUCUAAUCUUCACCACGAAAACCUGGUAGGGUUCCUGGGGGUAAAAAUAAUAAAAGUGUGGGGCCUUCCAGGGGUUUUAACUCUGAGGCUAGUUCACCUGUAGCAUUUUUGUCAAUUCUAUUAAUUAUUCCUACCAAUCACUGUCUACACCAGCUUAUGCCUUCUGGUAAACUGUGCUUCUUUGACUGUCUUUCCUGUUUUGGGGCAAUGGUUUUCCUGGAAUCCCAAUUAUCUGAGGGAUCCAAGAAGAGUUGUUCGUUUUCAAUUUUUCCUUGUUGUAAGGAUGGGGGUGAUGACUAUCAAGCUGUUUACAUGUCAGGGUGGAAAACUGUUUUUACAACAGAAGAGGAAUGAUCUUCUGGAAGUGGCUAUAUAUGAGAUGUGGUCUUAUUUCCUGACUUCGAAGUAUUUUAUGAGAACGUAAGGAAAAUCAAUAUUGCUUCUUUGUGGCCUAACUCAGGAUGGAGAAACGAGGGAAGUUAGUGAACUCAGAGGAAUGAGUACUUAAUGAAUCUCUAUGCCACCUCUUAAACAUUAGCUCUCUCAAGUGAACAUCUGGCAAGUAUUAAGUUACAAUUAAUUCAUGAUUGAAUUCUGUACACGUGUCUGAAGCGCUAAUAUUCCAUGUAAUUAGAGGGAGAUUUGUGUCCUUUAGAUACCGGAUAUGCAGGUGGUAGAAUUAGUACUUGUUGAAAAAAUGUUAAAGUAUUACUUUUAUUCUUGUCUAAAGAGGCCAUUCUGUGUGAACAGAGUGGCAGUAUAUAAAUAAAUAUAUAUAUUUUAUAUAUAUAUAUAUUUCUGACGUGUGUGUGUGUGUGUAUAUAUAUAUAUAUAUAUAUAUAUAUAUAUAUAUAUACACAAUGUAUAUUAGAUGAACUGGGUGCUUGCCCACCUGCCAUAAUAAAUAAAAACUUGAGAGGUAACUGGAUCAUAGAUACUUUUAAAAAGAUAUAUAUAUAUAUAUCUUUCAAAACAAGGGACAUGCACACACAUACAAAAAAACUUAGGUUCUACCCAAUAUUGUUAAAAAUUUUAAAUAUUGUUAAAAAACAUAAAAUAUUGUUUCCACAGAGGAACUAAACCAGCUAGUGUAUCAGAGUACCAGUUGAAAUUCCUUAAAUAACUCAUAUCUCCCCCAUACUCAAGGGGAAAAACAGAUCUUUUUAUUGCACCAUUCUUAGGAAUUUAUUUGUGGUACUAGUUAGUCGAAAGUUGAAUCUCCUUUUUCUAGUUGUAACUAUGUCAUUAUUAUGAACAGUCAUAAAACACACAGAGAAAAGUAAAAAUAUUGCUCACAUUCGUAAAGCACACUUUGUAAUUUUUUACACAUAACUUCUGUGGUAUCUUACCUCACCUCAAUCCUUACAAUAAUCUUUGAUGGUAGAUGUUACAGUUCCCACUUUAAACAUUUUCCAGCCUUCAUCAGAAAAAUGAAAAUCAGGUUAAAAUGAUUUCAGGUAUUUUAAAGAUUGGCAUCCAAAUAAUUUAUUUCUAUAAAAUGAAAUGUUAAAAUAUAAUACAUGAUUUGAAAAGUUAUAUAUUUCUUAGGUUUCUGGUGAGAUGAAUGUAGAAUAUAGCCAUGAUCAAAGGAAAAAAGUAGAGACUAAAACUUGGUUGGUCUUUACACUUAAAUAUAAUCAUGCCUAUGAAGACAGUAUGCAUCGUGGCUAAAAGCACAGACUAUAAACCCAGACUGGCCUAUUUUUAAAUUCUAGUUCUGCCUGCACUUCCCUCAUAACCUUGGCCAGGUUAUUUAACCUUUGGACGUGGAGGUUGUUAAAUAAAAUUAAAUUUAGCCUAAAACUUCCUCAGUACUUUGAAUUCUUACAUCGUGAACUCCAGCCUAACUAAGUAUAUAAGCAAACUGAACCCCACUUAGUAUAUUCUUGUAAUAAGUAGCUGAGUCUCAACCAGUCGCAGCUGAGCUUCAGUCAUUCAUAGGCUGCCAACUGACUAGAAGAAGUCCCUGUAAGGCAAAUUCUACACUGUAACUAAUUAAGCUGUUUCUGUAUAACUUUCUUUUUCUGUCUAUAAACACUGCCUGCCCACAAUGCUGGGCAGAACAUUUUGAACUUCUCCUGGUUCUAAUUGCUGCCCAAUUCAUAAAUCAUACUUUGCUCAAACAAACUCUGCCAUAUUUAAUUUUUCCAAAGUUUUUCUCUUAAGUUAAUAUAGGACUAUUUUUUAAUUUGUCAAAUGGAGUUCAUAGAGUUAAGAUGAAAAUUAGAGUAUACAAGAUGCUGUUCAUCUAGUAAAAUUUGACAGAGGUUAUUAAUAUUAUGCAUAUAGAUUUUAGAACAAAAUAUUUCCUUUAUUCUCACUUCUUUUUAUUCAUUAUUUGAUAGAUAUUGAAAAUUACUUACAAAUAAGUUAGAUGAAGAUUGGUGUUAUAUCCCUAGGUGUUGUCUUAUGGCACUGUGGCUUUAAAUACUAUGAAAAAAGGACUAAAUAAAGGUGAGCUAUUUGUUAGUCGUUGCUUUUUAUCUCAAGAAUUCAACACUACCAUGCAUUUAACAAGCUACAAAAGUACCAUGGAUUAUGAUGCCAUAAAGCUAAUUUCUUUUUCUAACUUUUUAAACCAAAUGAAAAUAUUGCUUUGAUUUUCUAUAUGCAAAGAAUUAAGGUUCUAUUGCAAGCAUUCAAUUUCUCAAACUGAAGGACAAGUAGUUAAUUUAUGAAACAUUUAUUACCUUAAUACAUUUACUAAGCUUAUCUAAAAAGAAAGCUUAAAAAAUUUAAUCUGAGCUACACAAUUAAUGAAAAGAUUACUAAAAGUCACUCAAAAUAUUAAAUUGACUCUCAUUCACUUUAUUUGUAUUGAAUCAAUAUUCAUUUUCCUCAUUUCAUGCUAUAAUAUAGACAAAUUACAAUAUGCUCUAAUUAGCAUAAACUGUAUGCUAAAUAUAUUAAAUAACAAAUGAAAACCGUAUUUUUGUUGUUCUCCAAAUCAAAAAUCUAAAUUGACAGAUGAAUUUUAAUGUAAAUAAUGAAGUUCUGAGGAAGCAUAAUUAACAUGAGUCAUGCACUCAAACUUAAUAGCUUAAUUAUUUCUUAGACACAAUGGAAAAUAAUUGUAGUUUAAAAUCUAUAGUUACCUUAUUUCUCUGUGUAAUCAAUAAACGUAUUUGCCAAUGCAAUAUUAAUGUAACAGAUGAGAUUUAAAACUACUUAAUUAAAUUGCAUCGCAUAGUCUUAGCAAUUCAUUUCUUUAGCCACAAUUGGAUAACACCUCUACUUUAAAACGUUAUUGUUACAUUAUGCUUCAAAACAUAAUCUAUGAAUAUGUCUUCCAAUAUUAGUUUUGGAUGGUAAACUUUAUUAUAAGGGCAAUUGUUUUUAAGCUUUACAUUUAGAUUGUUUUUCUACUAAAUUAUUACAUUUCUUGCUUGUUAUUUGUGUGGUUAGCUAAAUCAAGGUAAAAAGAGAUGUGAUGAAAAUAAUUUGCUGGUAUCAUAGAAAGAAGUAAGAAAAUGAAAACCUAGAGGAAAAUGUGGUAUCUAUAGCAACAGAUUUAGUAUAAAUUAGAAGAGUCCUUUCUCCUUCACUUGGCCAGACAAAACAUGGUACAUAAGUAAUCAAAAACCAAUGGCAAUAAAAAAAAUGCAUCAGCAUCUAUUCUAUGCGAGACACAAUGCUAAAUGCUAGCUGCCAAUCUAGUUAAGGAAAAGAAACACACAUGGGAUUUGGGCGAAGAGAACAUACUGAGGAACCAUGGGAAUAAAUGUAUGAAAUGUAUAAAGUCAUAUUAGAGAAGACUUGAAAUGGAGCAAUUAACAUUUAUUGAAUGUUUUCUAUAAUCUAGGCACCAAGCUGUGUUCUUGAAUUCACAAGACACAUCUUCAAUUCAUUGAUGAGGAAGCUGAAGUCCAAAUGCUUAAGUGAUAUUUUAUCAGGGCAUAAUGCAUGCAGGGAGACAAUGUCUCAUUUUCUGAUGUUGAUUUUAUCACCCAAAGUGAUGUUUAAUUUCUGUAUUCUGUGAUCCCUAUAAUUUCCUUUGCAACUGUUAACCAAUAUGUUAGGAGACAUUUUAAGACACUGCGAAUAUCUUGUACCUCACCAAAAUUUCCUUCUAGAGUUAAUGUCCAUUGAUGAUUCUUGCCUGAACUAAUCUUUGUUAUGAUUAUAUGGUUUAUAUAUACAAUUGUAUGUUGUUGUCAAAUGGUUAUUUCCCAAUGUUAGCAUUCUUUCAACACUUGCCACUCAGCUCUUCUAUAGCGAUCUUUACCCUGUAGAGCCAUAUCCCAAUACAAUAUGGCAUAUUUAGUGGUGGUAUGGAUAAACUGAUAGCUGUAUAAAAGGAAUGGGUGAAUGAAUAAGUAAAUAAGUGGAAAAUAAAUGGAAAAGCAAAGGUUCAGUAAUGCAAUGAGAGCUGAGAAAUAUCUACAAUUAGGAAGAAAAUGGAAAUGCAAGAGACCUAAAAUAAACAUGGUAUCAAAAUGAUUGGAGGAACAUGAAGAUAGUGAUCCAUACAGUCCACACCACAAGAGAGGUUCACAAAGGAAAGCUUGGUCAACAAACUAAGAGACCAGAGGUCCAGUCAAAGUGCCAGGAGAGGUGGCUAUAAAUGGAGUGCUGGAAAUUUAAAACCAGCAUUUUUUAGAAGAGGGGUGUCAGGUGUAAAAUUGCAGAAGUCAUAGUUGAUAAAAAAUGGGAAGAAAAAUGCUGGAAUAUUGACAUGUUUUCAGUGAAAUAAAAGACAAAAGUUGAUAACCAGGGGCAAGUCUAGCAGAGAAAAGGAAGGAUUCUUUGGAGUUUGUUUUCUGGUUGUUGUGUAUUAAGAUAAAAAAAAUACGAUGUAUUAAGUUAGGAGUGGCUCAACAUAAACAAUACAGAGCAAAGCUCUCAGGUGUCAGGAAAUGAUGGGAUGAAAAGUUACUUGAUUAUGGGUUAUAAAGAUCAGCACACCUUCCCUUGCAAUUAUUUUUUCAGAAAAUAAAAUAUCAGGUUAAGAAGAAUAAAUCCAAGACAUUCCAUCUUUUCAAUGAAGCCAAAGGUGAGCUCAUAAAUAAAUAGUGUAUGUGUGUGGAAUAAGAGAAGCUGGAAAUUAUAUGGAUAGAAUUAUUCUGGGGGAUUCAGCAAUAAAUUCGCAAGCAGGAGGACUACCAUUGAGUUGGUCUCUGUAAGGUGAGAAAUCCACGUUUGUCUAUCUCCUUCUGAGAUUACUUUGUGACCCCGAACAAGAACAGAAAGCAAGUAUGAAAUUAUAAGGCCAAGGAUUUAGAACAAAUGUGGUAAAAAGAGGAAUCACGUAGAUGAACAUGAAGUUCAGGCUGCUGCUGAAGUCUCAAUUACCUGAGAAUGGGUAAUAGGGAAAAUUUAGAUAAUUUAGGAUUUAAGGAGUUUCCUUACUAUUUAUCUAAUUAUGUAUGUAAGUUACCUUUUACAUUUAUAGUGUGGAUACAUAUAUAGUUGUGUAUAGUUGUAUAGGCAUAUGUGCUUAUAUAAACAGCUAAAUAAUGUAACUAAAUAUGGUGUUUUUGUCCCUGAAACUGCACUAAUACAUAUAAGUAUAUUGCAUAUUGAAGGAUAUUGUUCACUUAAUGCAUACGCACUUGAGUCAGGGAUACCUGUGACCAUCCAUGUCAUCUUCACUUUCCCUGCUAUGCUUUGCUGAUAUUUUAUUAACCCUCAUGCAGAAGAAUGACAGGAGCAUGACUGCUGCCAACGGGAGGCCAUAGACUGAGACCAUAGGCAGGUAACUGCUGCCCAAAACUUCUGCUUUACAGGAGGAAUAAUACAGUGAGAAUGAUGGAUAUAAACUGUCUAAUUAUCGGAGGUAGUGUUGCAUGAUACUUCAGAUAGCAGUUGGUUUUGGAAUGACUUGGGCUCACCAUCGAUUUGCUAUACAGUAGUCUCUCUUCAGCCACAGUUUUGCUUUUCAUGCUGUCAGUUACCUGCAGUUAACUGUGGUCCAAAAAUUAGAGGUAAAAAAUUCCGGAAAUAAAAAAUUCAUGUUUUCAAUUGUGCACUGUUCUGAGUACUGUGAUGAAAUCCCCACACCAACCCACUCCAUCUCAUCCAAGACGUGAAUCAUCCCUUUGCUCAGCCUAUCUAUACUGUAUAUGCUACCCACCUGUUAGUCACUUAGUGGCUGAGGAUAAUCAGAUUGAAAAAUCAUAGAAUAUAUAGAGUUUGGUACUGUUCGUGGUUUCAGGUAUCCCUGUGGGCUCUUGGAACAUAUUCCCUAUGGAUAGGGGAGACUACUGUACAACAGUGGAUGGCAUUACCUCAUGGGAAAUAGUAAUUUGCUAUGUUUUGAAUGUGUCCCCAAAAUGUGUUGGAAAUUUAAUUUCCAGUGCAGCAAUGUUGAGAAGCGGAAACUUUAAGAGGUGAUUAGGUCAUGAGGGCCCUGCUCUCAUGAAUGGAUUAAUGUCAUUCUCCAAGGGGUGGGUUUAUUAUAAAAGUGAGAUUGACCCUCUCUCACACUCCCUCUCAUACAUGUGAUACCUUCUACCAUGUUAUGUCACAGCAAGAAAGACCUCACUAGAUGUCAGACCUUCAAUCUUGGACUUCCAAUCCUCAAUAAUCAUGAGUCAAAUCAAUUUCUAUUCAUUGUAAAUUACCCAGUGUCUUGUAUUCCAUUAUAGCAGCACUAAAUGGAUUAAGACAUAACCCAUUAGUUUCAUUCAUUAGUUAGGGAAAAGAAAUCAAAAUUUCAGGCUGGGCCUGGUGGCUCACACCUGUAAUCCCAACACUUCGGAAGGCCAAGAUAGAUGGAUCACUUGAGGUCAAGAGCUGGAGACCAACCUGGCCAAUAUGAUGAAACUCCAUCUCUACUAAAAAUACAAAAAUAAGCUGGGCAUGGUGGCAGGUGCCUAUAAUCCCAGCUACUCAGGAGGGUGAGGCAGGAGAAUCACUUGAACCAGGGAGGCAGAGGUUGCAGUGAGCCAAGAUUGCGCAACUGCACUCCAGCCUGGGUGACAGAGUGAGACUCCCUCUCAAAAAAGAAAAAAAUCAAAAUUUCAGUUAGACAGAGGGACAUUGAACAUUUUCACAUAUAUGAAAAUACAUAUAUUUAAAUAGGCUAACUUGGGAAUUACUUUUAGCUAUUAAAAGUAUUCGCUAGUUUACAUACAAAACAUUUAUCUUUAUUUAUUUACUUUUUUUUGGCAGAGUAGAGGUGGCAUUUAUAUUUGGUAAUCAUGUAGUUUUUUAAACGUCUAAGCAAUUUUUAAAACACUUAAUGUAAAAUAUUUUUAGUUAUUCAAGUCAAGAGAACUUCUAAGUUUGAAAUACAUUAGCUAAUUGCAGCCAAUUUUUAAAUGUUAUUGUUUAAUAACUAAUUCUUGAGUAUACUGGGAAAAUGGUAUGAAAAAUGUAAAAUUUAAAAAGUCAAAAUAUCAUCUUCAACAUGUAGGGAAAUAAAAUUGUUUCUGUAGUGUUGACUAUACUUAAUUAAAAAUACCUAAUCUAAGCAAUGUCUCCUCCUCCUAUUCCCCAUUGCAAGGACAAGAACAAAGUUAAAUCAGAACAUCACAUACACAAGGU